rnacentral:rRNA from 1 species
GACGAACGCUGGCGGCGUGCUUAACACAUGCAAGUCGAACGGAAAGGCCCUGCUUUUGUGGGGUGCUCGAGUGGCGAACGGGUGUGUAACACGUGAGUAACCUGCCCUUGACUUUGGGAUAACUUCAUGAAACUUGGGCUAAUACCGGAUAGGAGCUCCUGCUGCAUGUUGGGGGUUGGAUAGUUUCGGCGGUUGGGGAUGGACUCGCGGCUUAUCAGCUUGUUGGUGGGGUAGUGGCUUACCAAGGCUUUGACGGGUAUCCGGCCUGUGAGGGUGACCGGAGAAAUGGGGACUGAGAGAGGGACCAGAGUGGAACGGGAGGCAGAAGUGGGGAAUAUUGAAAAAUGGGAGGAAGCAUGAUGAAGCAAAGCCGCGUGCGGGAUGACGGCCUUCGGGUUGUAAAAAGAAUUAGACUGCGACGAAGAGUGAGUGACGGUAAUGGGUAAAGAAGCACCGGCUAACUACGUG